rnacentral:tRNA from 1 species
UGGGGCGUGGUGAAAUGGUUAUCAUGACGGACUCUGACUCCGUUGUUUCCAGUUCGAAUCUGGACGCCCCUGCCA